AGCUGAUGCACAUGGCGGUUUUCCUCCCAGUGCCGCCGCAGCAGCUGUUCCCCUCUGGAGAUACAGAUCUCCACACUUCAUGGGCCGCGGAUUUCCGCUGGCCCAUUUUU
rnacentral:sRNA from 1 species